rnacentral:misc_RNA from 1 species
UGACCAAAAUCACUUCAUUUGCAGCCUUGGCAAGGCCAUAUUGUUGCCUCAGACUCCCUAAGUUGUCAAGUGAUCCCUCAAACAAGCAAAAUAUGUCAUCCUUAACAGCAAAUGACCUGGGGAGUACAGCAGACUCUUUGGAGUGAGAGUAAGCGAGUUGGACAAAAUCGCCGAUCUGCAUAGAAAUCGCCGACGAAUUGCUUUGAACAAACCGGUUCACCAGAGCAUCCGACGUGAUCUUAGGUGAAGGAGUCCGGCUACCGGCGGCGACGAGCUCGUCGGGCGGAGAAACAAUGGAACUGCUAAAUACACCCAACAUUUCCUAAGAAUUCAAAAAUAACCACAGAAAAGAAAAUAAAAACUACGCCAAUCACCCUAUUUCUCUCUAGAAGUGUGUGAAACAG